CGCCCCUCGGCCCGGGCCGCGGCCGUGCUGCCGCCCUCUCGCGUCCCUCGGCGGGACGGGGCCCGAGGGGCCGCGCGCGGGCCUGGACGCCGGGACGGGGUGGCCGCCCGCCACAGCCGUUUAAAGAGCCUCAGAAUAUUCGCCUAAUUAUCUGUUUAAUUGAUGAGUUUGUAUAAAUGCGGGGAUUAGUGAAUUUGAUCACAAAGCUGUUGUCUCUAACGACCAUCACGGACGCUGCUGGAGCUUUCAAAGGUUUGGACGCUGAUUUGCUCAUUUGAUCUCUGAAGUGAAAGAUGUGAGUCUCCCCUCCUCAGCUGGCUUGGGUAGCUAGCGCUGGGGUCCUGUGGUGGGUGCCGGGUCUGUGUCCUGUAUCUCACUUAAUGUUAGUGCACACCGAUGGCUUCGCUUGUGCUGUUACCCCACUUCACGUCGUGGAAAACGCGAGCCUGCAGCUGAGGAGUCCUGGCGGACUCGGAACCUUUCCGCGGACCCCAUCCAGUAGAUCGGGUUGAACCGUAUGACCACGUGCCCCCGUCUUCGACCCACAGAGGCUGCAGUUGCAUUUGGCUUAACCACUGGCGGUGAUCCGACUGAACCGGGUGGAACAAGCGUGAUGGGCAGCGUUCGUUGCCCGUGUGGAGUCCGUUCGGGCUGCAGCAGUUGAUGGUGGCUCUGUGUAUCACCUUUUCGGAUAUACAUAGGUCGGUCGCUUCUCUCUCACGUGGUUUCCCUGUGCAGAAGAGAGCCCGGAGUUCACAGAUCCCGACCCCUGCUUGCUGCUGACCUGCCGACCUCCCAGUCCUGCUCUGCCCUUCCCACUGGGCUCUAGCCCCCAGAGCCCCUCCUGAUCCUUGAACUCGCCAAGCGAGCUUCCCCACCAGGCCUCCAGACUUGUCGUUUGCUCUCCCAAGGAUGCCCUUUCUCCUCCAUCUGCCAGCUGGGCUCCCUGACUUUGUCUGGUCUCCCCAGAGAAAGCCUCCCUUAAUACCUUGGAUGAAACCGUGCAUGGAGUGCACAGGCACACACACACUUCCCCUCCUUUUACUUUUCACAGCAUUGGUUUCCACCUGCCAUAUAUGACUAGUUCAGUUUGUUUGCCACCUGGCGCUACACCGUGAGCUCCAUGAGAGCAAGGACUUUACUCUCUUCUGUUUGGAAUUCCCAACACCUCAAAAGCACAUGGUCAACAUAAGUACUCAGUAAAUAGCUAUUCAGAAAGAACUAAGCACUUGUACCAGAAACCAGGAAACCCUUACCUGUGUCGUUCCUGCAAUCCUUGCAGCAAACACUGGAGGUGGGCGGAUGAUGCUAAGGAGCAGCCGGUCCCUGGCCACCUCAGGACCCACCGCAGAGGGCAGUGGCUCUCAGUGGAGGUACCUGCCCCAUCCCAGACACCCUCGGUGCCUCUCCUUUGUCCUCCCCUAUGCUCCUGCCUCAAGCAUUUUAGAUACACACAGAGAGUACUUCAAACAAAAAGUUCCUCAAAAACACUUGUUAGGAAAAAAAAUGGAUUUCAAAAGGUUUUGAAAUUUUGAUUCCAUUUUUCCAUAAGCUUUUCAAAGAACCCUUAUAUUACAGCAGUAAUUAUCCAAUAUGCACAAGAUUCGGCAAGGAAUACAAAAGCUCUUGGGAUACACGUCUUCCCUUCAAGAAACUUAAAAAUUUUGAAUUAAUGUGCAAAGCCUCAAUUAUCAAAAAAUUAUCAUAAUACAAUAUUCACAAUGUUACAAUAUACACUAGUUAUAGCGUGUCCUGUUGAAGGGCCAUGUAAUAGCUUUCUUGCACUGUGAGAAAUUAUGUCAUCUAAUCUGUUGGCCCUAAAAAUGAUCAGUAAUUAACCAUGAGUGGAAAUCUCUUUUCUAUUCUCUUACAUUUGAUAGGUUCUAUUUGCUUUUUGCUGUUCUUGACAUUUAAAAGGGAAAAUUUACAAUAUUUGAACACUUCUCUGUCUUCAUCACUGAGAAGUUCUCGCAGGAGCUAAAGUGUUUCUUGGACUUAAAGAUCCCCUGUUUGAUGACUUUUUGUCAGUGUUCUUCUUAGAAAUCUUUUUUUGUUUUUUUUUUGUUUUUUGUUUUUUGUUUUUGACAGGCAGAGUGGACAGUGAGAGAGAGAGACAGAGAAAGGUCUUCCUUUGCCGUUGGUUCACCCUCCAAUGGCUGCCGCGGCCAGUGCGCUGCAGCCAGCGCGCCGCGCCGAUCCGAUGGCAGGAGCCAGGUGCCUCUCCUGGUCUCCCAUGGGGUGCAGGGCCCAAGUACUUGGGCCAUCCUCCACUGCACUCCCUGGCCACUGCAGAGAGCUGGAAGAGGGGCAACCGGGACAGAAUCCGGCGCCCCGACCAGGACUAGAACCCGGUGUGCCAGCGCCGCAAGGCGGAGGAUUAGCCUAGUGAGCCGUUUACUUAUUUGAAAGGCAGAGUUACAGAGAGGCAGAGGCCGAGAGAGCGAGGUCUUCCAUCCGAUGGUUCACUCCCCAAUUGGCCACUCCCCAAACAGCCACAACAGCUGGAGCUGGAGGGAUCCAAAGCCAGGAACUUCUUCUGAGUCUCCCACAUGGGUGCAGGCGGCCUGCCUUUUUAGAAAUCUUAAUCCUUUAGUUUUCCUCAAAGGGAAGAGGAAAGUUUUUGAUAUGUCUGUAGUUGUUUAUUGUCCUAAUAGAUGUCUUGGGUAUCAUUUUAAAUUGUGCAAUAUAUAGGAGGUGCUAUUUGAAAGACUGCAAAUGGCAGGUUUUAAGUGUGAAUAUGGUAAUCAAACCUUCUGAAUACCUGUUGUUGAAUAUCGUUAACCCAGAGGUGGUUAACUCUCAGACUAAGCUGGGAGUUUAAUGCCACCAUCUUUUGAAGUUACCUGGUAACUGCCAAGUGCAGAGCAGACACAGUGCUGUCGCAGGGUCGCUGAGCACUGCCCUUUCUUCUGGAAAGCCUACACAGCUGCACGAGGGCACAGGGUUUGACCCGUGGCUAAGGGAAGGCUCCAAGUGCACGGGGAAGGCACGAACAAGAACUUGGAGAGGAGGAAAGUGCCAGGGUGUAGGAUAGGCGUUUCCAUGGAGAGUAGUGGGUGCCAGGUCCUGGUUGGCCUGCAGUGCCAAGCCUAAGUGUUUGUCCAUGAAGGGACUUGGGCACUGUUUUAACUACAAGGAAAUGAAUCAAUCAACUGCAGGCAUAUUUAUCUCUCAGUACAAAUUCAGCGUUUGUGAGAUUCCCCACAGCCGUUCCCAUGUUAAUUUUCCUGCCUUUUCAAACCACUAGCAGGGCAGUUCCAGAUGUAGUACCAACGUUCAGCUGAAACCACUGCACUGCACAGUGGUUAAAUGUUAACUGACGGUGUAAGGUUUCUACUCAUUUGACCCUAAGUGAAACUCUAGAGGUAAAAACAGUCUCUGCCAGGAUUCAGGCCCUUGAGCCAUGCAAUGCAAGCUGCUUCGUUCCAUAUUGAAACAGAAACCUCAACUAAAAGUGUCCAUUAAUUAUAGGAAUAUGAGAGUGAAUUAAAAAUGCAUUUUGUUUUGAUCAACUUUCAGACCGACCCCUGGCUUUAGGACUGCAAAAUGAUGUCAGCAGCGUGCCCCUGAACUGCGCUGAAUGGCCUUCUUCCUUCAGGAUCCAAAUCAUUCAGGAUGAAUCUGUGAUUAUAUUUUAAUGUAUUAAACAGAUUCGGUGUAAUUCAUGGUCUGUGAGUUAGUUUUAAACAGCUAGCAUGGGUAAACAUUGUAUGAGCAGAGGAAGUAACUGCUCGUGUCCCAGAUAUUUGAUGAAAUGCCAUUGUCCUUUACUACAAUGUGACUUACAGACUGACUGUAACUUUCCAGUAAUUUCUGCGGAUCUGUGCCGUCUAAAAUGAGCUCCCAAGGGGACUGAGGAGAGACCAAAAAGAAGACUGGCAUUUUAUAAGAGCCCCAACGAAGGGUCAGGCCCUUAGUAACUGAGUGCCCAAAGACUCUAGGUUAAUAAUUAUCCCAAUUUUACAGUUGAAUAAGCCAAGCCCCAGAGGGUUAACUAAAGAACCUGACUUUUGUCACACAGGUAGUAGAUGCUGAGGACAGAAUUCAAUCCAGACCUUCAAACUGCUCCAGAAGGCAUGCCCUAUAUCUACAGUGUGAGCCGGGGAUUAAGUACUAGCGAGACACUGCAAGCUCAAACCGUGACAGCCAGUGCUGGUGCCAUUUCUCUGUGCAGGGGUCCAUACUUCAUCUCUGCUGCCUUAGCGACAUCAUUCUCAUUAGCACAGGAAGUAAAGUGAUGCCUGAGGAAGAAGAGAGCAAAAGGAAAAAAAUUUAACUCGCUCCCCAAAAUCACCGCUAGAAAGUGACCGUGAGAGCAGCUUUGGAUUUCAAGUUUGGAGCACAACCACUUCCUCGCAUUUUCCAGCCCCCGGUGUUUGUGGGCUCCAGGCCACCUCCACGUCCUAGAGUUCCAGGUGGCUCCAGGCAGCUGGAGAGCGCCGUUCAGAUUCCCAGCCCGCUUUGAAAUCUUUCGCCAAGACCCAAACUGCUGAAGAAAAAAAUCCGGGUUUCUGACUGUUUCGAAAGCAUUUCAGACUAAAAGCAUCCUUGAGUCUGCCAUCCAUUUUCAAUUGGAAUUUGAUUGGAAUCACGGGUGAAUUUCAGAAAACUAGCACAUGUUGUCAUUCACUGGCUCUUUUCCCCCUUAUUCAGGUGUCAAAAGGAGGCCCCGAGGUGGGGCAAAGAUCUUCACGGCAAUUAAAGCUCUCAGUAUGUCUUCCGAGGACAUUUCCUCAGAGGGAGAUUUUAGGGUAAGGGAACGGCUUCCCCCAGCACUAACACGGAGUUCUGUUGCAGGGGAUCCUCCUUGGGACCGAGAGUCAAGUUCCAGGGGGAUCAGCCCCUGAUGCAGCCCCCCUCCCGGCCCCACCUGCGGGCUCCCUCUGGCCAGGCCCCAGCUCCCAGGUGAGCGAACUGCUUCUCUGUACCAGCCUCUUCUCCCAGGACCCACUGCCCAGAGGGACAAGGCUUCCCUGCCUCUCCCUGACCCUGCUGCCUGCAAAACAAACACAAAUUAGGAAAAGGGCAAAGGAGUUUUAGUUGAAAAAUCACCAGCGUUGGGAACAUUACAAGUUGCUGAAGAAUCUCAGAAAACUACCAGCAGUGGUCCCCGGAGCCUGACUUCAUGUAGUUUCAGCCAAGACCUGAGCCAAGCGUGUCCACUGUUUCCCAGACAUGCGCAUCAGUAUUUUGUGGAGUCAGAGGUCCCGGCCCUUUCUUCCUUGCCGGCUGCUGCCAGCUCCUGGGGGCCCAGGCCCAGUUGCCGACCCUUCAGGGAAAGGCUCCUUCCCUUCGGCCCUCCACAGCUUCUCCAGGCUUCGGGGUCCUGCUUUCUGGCCUUGUUUGCUACCUGGUUGGGGUAAUGGGGCUCUGUCUUUGCUCUUCCCCCAGCACCCCAGACUUCUCUGGGCUGUUGUUCAUGGGUCUACUUUUGCCUCCUUUGCUCCUCCUUGCUGUCUCCAUGCCCCCAGCACGGAGCAGGAUGUAGGAGUGUUGGUCACCGACUCAAAGUUGCCCCAAAGAGGCCAUACAGCAAAGUGAGGAAAAGCUCCAUGUGCUGUGCGGCCUCGCUCAGGCCGCUUGACCUCCACGAUGCUCGGUCUCCUCGGCUGCAAAAGCACCCACUGCUAAGAGGACUCACGCUCUUACGGUGAGGAUGAUACGAGGCAAUGAUGACCAGCCCUCAGCCUGCGUCUGCAAUACAGCGAUCACCCAAGAAAACAUUUGCCAUCAUUCUCGUGCUCAUUAGCACCCAGCACUAUUUUCAGACUGCCUCCUCUUAUUACGCAACGCUCGACCUCAGGGAUGCAAAGAAAUUCGUUCUGGAUUCAAGACACACGUAGCUUGGCUCUGCUCAUCUGCAUUCGAAAGGAGCGAAAACGUUGGGAAAUUCUCCUCCGACCCCACCGCCGCCCCCGGCUGCUGCUCCAGCUGAAGGAAGCACUUACAGAAAAGGAAUCCCCCCGCCCCCGACGUCCACUUGAACAAACAGAAGACCUCCCCACGCACUGACACUUGUCUCAAAUUUAUCUAUUUGAAUAGCACAGAGUCAGAGAGAGAGAGAGAUCUGCCAUCACUGGGUCACUCCCCAAGGGCGCUCCGCUGAGGCAGGCCAGAGCCAGGAGUUGGGAAGCCACUCUAGGCCCCCGUGCCAGUGUCCAGGACCAGAGCAGUGAAGCCGGCACUGCGCCUCCUGGGGUCUGCCUGAGCUGGCAGUGGGCACGCAGGCACUCGAUAGAGAAGCAGGGCGCCCCUCCCCUCAUGAUCUUCCUCCCUCUGCUUUUCUGUGACAAACAGAAUUAGUAAAAUGCAGAACAGACUCUCCUAUGAAGGGAGUGUUCAAAAGUCCAUGGAAAAAGCAUUUUAGGAAAAAAAAAUUAUGCAUGGAUUUCAAAAACAUUUACACCAAAAUCAAUUUAUCAAUUCCAUUUUCUGCCACCCAAGUAGCCUCCCCCCAAAAUCUGAUUAUUUGAUUCUUAGCUAUUCAAAGUCCAGAAAAUAACUGACUAGUCCAUCCGUGUUGCUAUUGUUAUAAUCUAAGUAUUAUGCUGUCUUUAAAUCAAUUUCGUGGAUAAAAACUGAAACAGAAGCUCAUCUGAAAAUUUUUAAGUCUACAGAGACACUGACGGGGUUGUACUCGUUCAACAUUAUUUUAUAGUCAUUUAUUACUUGUCUGAAUGAAUAGGUACUUGGCUGUAACCAAGCUCAAAAAAGACUGUAUCUACGUUUUAAGGAAAAACUUAUGAAAGCUUCAAGAAAAAUUUUCCAGAUUCCCACCUUGGGAGGAAAAAGUUGCUUUGCUUGGAAGCUAUUUCAAACAAGUAUUUUGUAGGAACUUCUGGCAAUCAGUAUGGUUAUUGACUAAGUAUUUUUAAAUGAAUGUUGUGUGGCUUUAAUCAAAUAAAUGAAAUGCACACGUAAAUUUACUCAUUAUCUCAUGCAUAAAUAAACACACAUACAUAAACAGAACUGUCACCUCUGCUGACGCUUUAUCACUAACACUCAGCUCACUGUCUGGGCUGACAGCCACUAGAGCUUCUGCCGGAGGCGUCCCGGCCACUCCAGGGCCACCUCUGCCUGUGGCCAAGAGGACACGGGACUGGAGUCUGCAGUCUGACACACGACAGACAGCAAGCAGAGCACUGGCUUUUAAGUCGUCUGAGAGACUCCACCAGAAGCAGCUGUGUUUUGUUGUUUGUUCAUUUUGCUUUGUUUUGAUUUUAGAAGUUCCUAUACUUUUUCUCUGUUAUUAUUUUUAAAAAUUGACACAUAAUAAGCAUACAUAUUUAUAGGGCAAAUUGUGAUAUUUUAAUGCAUGUAUUGAGAUAUGUAAUGAGCAGAUCAGGGCAAUUAUUGUAUAUAUCAUCUCAUUCAUCAUUUCUAUGUAUUAGGAAACUUCAAAAUCCUUUGGCUAUUUUGAAACAUAGAAUAAGUUAUUUUUAAUUAUACUCACCCUGCAGUGUUAUAUAGAACACCAGUACUUAUAUCCCUUAUCUGUUUUUUACCUAAUGCUAACCUCUAUUCCCCCCUCCCUCCACUGCUUCAUUCUUUUGUCUACUUGUAUGAAAUCGUGGGUUUUUUAACCUUCCAUGUAUGAUAGAGAACAUGCCAUGUUUAUCUUUCUAUGCCUGACUUUUUUCACUCAGCAUUGCGUCAUCAAGUCCCAUCCAUAUUGUCCCAAAAGACAGGAUUCUAGUCUUUCUUUCUCCUGCCUGCCUCCCUCCCUUCCUUCUCUCCCUUCCUCUCUCUCUCUGUCUCCUUCCAGUUCUCUAGCACUCGCUCCCUCUGAAAGAAGGGGAGAGAGAGAGAGUACCUGCUCCGGUCCAGACAUCAGGUUCACACCCUGCAGGCCUGCCACAGUCAGGAGGCUGAAGCUGGGAGCUAGACAUUCCACCCAGGUCCCUCCACAGGCGGCAGAAGCCAGCCAACUUGAAGCCGCAGGACUGCCUCCCAGGAUCUGCAGUAGCAAGACACUGGAAUCAGGAUAAUGGAGCUGGGAAUUGAAUCCAGGCACUUCGAUACAGCAUGCAGGCAGCCAGCAAGAUACCUACCCCCAUUCUUUUUACCGUGAAAUACUAUUCCACUACUCUAUUUUAUAUAUAUAUAUAUAUGGUACUUUAUAUAUAAGCAUGUGUAUAUGUCACAUAGAACAUGUGCGUGUGAUGUUGUCUUUAUCCAUUCCUCUGUUCGUGGACACCUCAGUUGAUUUCAUAUCUUGGCUGUCGUGAGCAGUGCUGGGAUACACAUAACAAUGCAGGUAUCGCUGAUAUCCUGAUUUCAUUCCCUUUGGAUGUGUACCCCACGGUGGGAUAGCUGAAUCAUGUGGUAGCUCUAUUUUAGUAUUUUAGGGAAAUUCCAGUGUGCUCCAUAGUGGCCGUACAAGUUUUCAGUCCCACUAACAGUGUGUGACCAUUCUCCUUUCUCUGCAUCCUGGCCAGCAUUUGUUUGUUUUUGUCUUUUUGAUAAUAGCUCUUCCAACUCCUUGUGAUUUUGAUUUGCAUUUCUCUGAUGAUUAGUGAUGCUGAGAACUUUUUUACUAUACUGUUGGUGGUUAUUUAUGUAUCUUCUUCUGAGAAAUGUCUGUACAUAUCACUUGCCCAUUUUUGAUCAGAUUUUUUAUUGCUAAAUUUUUUUGUUUUCUUAUAUAUUCUGGAUAUUAGUCCCUUGUUGAAUGAAUGGUUAGCAAAUAUUUUCUCACGUUCUAUAGAUUGUCUUUGUCCUCUGUUGAUUGUUUUCUUGGCUGUGUAGAAGCUUCUGAGUUUGAUAUAAUUCCAUUUAUCUACUUUUGCUUUAGUUUUCUGUGCUUUUGAGGUUUUAUCCAAAAAUUCAUUGCCUGUACUCAUGUCUUGCAGUGUUUCUAUGUUCUGUUCUAGGAGAUUCAUGGUUUCGGGUCUUUUAUCCAUUUCUAGUUGAUUUUUUAUACUGCAAGAAGAUAAAAGUCCGAUAUUUUUCUUCUGCAGGAUCGUUCAUCGAAGUGACUGUCCUUUCUCCAAUGAUUCUGAUGCUUUGUUGAAGAUCAGUUGGCUGUAGAGGCAUAGAUCUGUUUCUUGUUUUUCUACUGUGUUCCGUUGGCCUAUGUCACUUUUUUUCCAGUGCCAUUCUGUUCUUGUUACUCUAGCUUUAUAAUCUAUUUUCAAAUCAUUUAUCUUGAUGCCUCCAGCCUUGUACUUUUUGCUAUUUGGGAUCUUUUGUAGCUCUAUAUGAAUUUUAUAAUUUUUUCUACUUCUUUGAAGAAUGUCAUUAGCAUUUCAAUGAGCAUUACGUUGAAUGUGUGGAUUGUGUUGGGUAGUAUAGAAAUUGCAACAGUUUUAGUUCUUUCAAUCCAUGAACAUGGGUGUCUUUUCAUUUUGUGUGUCCUCUUUAAUUUCUCUUGCCAGAAUUUUGUAAUUUUCAUUGUAGCCAUCAUUCUCUUCCUGGGUUAAAUUUAUUCCUAGCUAUUUUUGUAUGUGAGUGAACUAUUGUAAGUGAGAUUCCUUUCUUGUUGUAUUCCUCUGCAUCUUCAUUAUUGGUGCAUAAAAAUGCUGAGUUUUGUAUGUUGAUUUUGUAUCCUGUGACAUUACUGAAGUCAUUUAUCAGUUUUAACAGGUUCAUUUUUUUCCUUUUUGUGCAUCUGGAUUUGUCUACAGAUUACAAUAUGUCAUGUACAAACAGGAAUAAUCCAACAUCCUGCUUUCCUAUUUGGAUGACCUUUAUUUUCUUCUCUUAUCUAACUUAUCUGGCUAAGACUCUCAUUACUAUGUUCAGUGAGAGUGGUGAACGUGGAAAUCCUGUCUUGUUGCAGUUCUUAGAGGAAACACUUCCAGCUUUUCUCCAUUCAGUAUGAUUUUAGCUGUAGUUUUGUCACAUGUCGUUUUCAUUGUGUAGAGGUAAGUUCCUUCUACACCUGAUUUAUUGAGGAUUUUGUAAUGAUGCUUUUUCUUUUUAUGUUGAGAUGGUCAUAUGGAUUUUUGGUCUUCAUCCUGUUGUUGUGUGUGUUAUGUUUGUUGAUUUGUAGAUAUUGUCCAUCCUUUAUCCUUGAGGUAAAUCUCAGUUCAUCACGGUGUGUGAUCUUUGUGAUGUGCUGUUGACUUUUAUUAGAAUUCUGCUGAGCAUUUUUGCAUCAACAAAAUUUGCUGUUUCCUUUCUCCCUCUUUCUCUAUUUUUUUGGGGGGAGGUUUCUAUCACAGUAAUGUUGGCCUCAUGAAAUUAGUUUGGAAGACCUCUUUUCAAUUUCUUGAAAUCAUUUGAAAAUGAUUGGUGUCAGUUUUUCUUCAAAAGUUUCUGGGUUUUUCUUUGUUGGGGGACUUUAUUACUGAUUUUUUCAUUACUGGUCUGGUCAGAUUUUGUAUCUCUUAAUGAUUCAAUGUUGGUAAGUUACAUUUGUCCAGAAAUUUGUCCAUUUCUUCUGCACUUUUAAAUUUGUUGGUGAGUAGUUGUUGAUAAUAAACCUUAAUGAUGCUUUCAGUGGUUAUUUUUUGUAAUGUCACCUUCUUCAUUUCUGAUUUUAUUUCUUUGGACUGUCUCGCUUUUUUCUUGGUUAGUCUAGCUUAUUUUGUUGAUGUUUGUUUUUCAGAAAUACAGCUCUUUAUUUCAUUAAUUUUUGUUGAAAUUUCUAUUUCAUUGAUCAAAGAUUUCUGAUCUUUGUUAUUUCUUUCCUUCUACUAAUGUUGGUGUUGGUUUAUUUCUAUUUUUCCAGUUCCUUUUGUUAUAUCAUUGGCCAUUUACUUGAAAUACCUCUCUCUCUCUCUCUCUCCCUCUCUCUCUCUCUCGUUUAUGUCAACACUUAGGGUUUUAAGUGUCCCUAGUAUUGCUUUAGCUGUAUCUCAUAGAUUUUGGCAUGUUGUGCUUUUAUUUUCACUUGUUUCAAGAAAUAUUUUUAAUUGCUCUUUUGAUUUCUUCUUUGACUCAUUGGUCAUUCAAGAACAUGUUGUAUAAUUUCCAUGUAUUUGUGCAAUUUCUAGGCUUACUCUUGUUGAUUUCUAGCUGUCAGAGAAGAAACCUGCUAUGACUUUGAGUUUUAUUUUAAAUUUGUUCAGUCUUUUUUUGUGGCUUAAUAUAUGGCCAGUCAUAGAGAAUGUCCCAUGUGCUGAUGAGAAGAAUGUAUAUUCUGCAGCAGUUGUAUGAAUGGUCUAUAAAUGUCUUUUAGGUCCAUUUGCUCUGUAGUAGAGUUUAACUGUGAUGUUUCCUUGUUGAUUUUUUUGGUCUGGAUUACCUAUUGAUGAAAAUGUGGUGCUGAAGUCUCCAACUAUUAUUGUAUGUAAUCUCUCUCUCCCUUUGGAUCUAAUAGUGCUUGCUUUGUAGAACUGGGUGCUCCAGCGUAUAUUUACAAUUGCUAUUUCUUCUUGUUGAAUUCUUUUAUCAUUACAUAGUGACCCUCUGUCUCUUUUUGGAGUUUUUCACUUGAAGUCUAUUUUAUCUUAUGUAAGCAUAGCUAUUCCUCCUCACUUUUGGUUUCCAGUUGUAUGAAGUAUUUUCUUCCAUACCUUCACUUUGAGUCUAUGUGUAUCUUUAUCAUGAAGUGAAUUUCUUGAAGCCAGCAUAUUGUUAGGUCUUGAUUUAUUUUAUUCAUUAAUCUAUUAUAAAUAUUUCAAUUGGAGAUUUUAAUCCAUUUACACUCAAAGUUAUUGAUAUUUAAAGACUCAAUUCUGUCAAUUUGUUUAAUUAUUUUGAUUGUUUUGCAUAUUCUUUUUUGUUAAGAUUUAUUUACUUAUUUGAAAUUCAGCAUUACAGUGAGACAGAGGCAGAGAGAGAGAGAGAGAGAGAGAGAGAGAGAGAGAGAGAGGUUUUCUCUCUGCUGGUUCACUCCUCAAAUGGCCACAAUGGCCAGAGCUGGGCCUAUCAGAAACCAGGAGCCAGGAGCAUCUUCCAGGUCUUCCAUGCAGGUGCAGGGCCAUCUUCUACUGCUUUUUCAGACCAUUGCUGAGAGCUGGAUCGGAAGAGGAGCAGCCGGGACUCAAACCAGCACCCAUAUGAGAUGCCAGCACUGCAGAAGGCAGCUUUACCUGCUACGCCACAGCGCCAGCCCCUGCACAUGCUUUGUACCUUUAUUAUGCUAUUGUUGUUUGGUGGUUUUCUGAGGGACGAGGUCUGAUGUUUCUUCUCUUUUGUGUACCUGUCUCCUGGUGAGUCUCGUACUUGCCUGUGCUCUCACAGGGGCAGUACUCUCCUUUCACUUCCAUCUCCCCUCGGUGCUUCCUGCAGGGCCUGCCUCACAGUGCUAAAUCCUGGGCUUUCCUGUUUUGGCAAAGGCUUGCUUUCGCCAUCAUUUCCAGGGUAGCUUUGCUGGAUAUUGUAUGCUUGCUUGGCAUAAAAACGCUUUCCCUGACUACAAAUACAGCCCUGCUAGUUGUAAACCUUUAACAAUGUAGAAGGUUAUCCAGGAAAGCGAAACUAACAUGAAAAACGUUUUAACCGAUAAAAUUAAAAAGCACGUUUUGAUUAUAUUAUGUGCUGUCUUCACAUACACUUCUUCUUAUACACUACUUCUUAUACACUACUGAUAGUGCCAGAAACCAAAGGAAGCUUUCUGCAAGACAAUUUAAUAACAGACAUCAACGAUUUGGGAUUGCAUGUGCCUUUGGACUAUAAUUUCACUUCUGAGAAUUUAUUUUGUGUGAAUAAUCAUGAAAGACAAAUAUAUAUAGCAAUUUUCUUAUUUCAAAUGAAAAAAUUGAGAUGGAAGAAUUUUUAUUUUAUUAUUAGUGUUACUAUUUUAUCUUUUUUGUUUAGCUAUUUCUAUAAUAAACAUGAAUUUGUUAUGUAAUAAGACAUUAACGAUAAACUUUGUUAAAAAAAAUUUGUAGUCAGUGAAUUCCUUGGCAUCUACUGAUCGAUAGGAAGGAACUUCAUGGAAACUCUCCUACUGUCAAAGACAUGCCCGGGUCCAAGGAUGUAGGGAAAUCUACGUGCAAACACUCUCAGGAUGGUGCCUUAGAGCCAGUUUUGUGCAGGUUAAGCUGCCCCUCACUGGUUCAAGUCCCGGCUGAUCUGCUUUUGAUCUAGUUGCCUACUAAUGCACCUGGGAAAGAAGUGGAGGAUGGCCCAAGUGCUUGGGACCUGUGUGGGACACCAGGAUGGAGUUACAGGCUACUGACUUCGGCCUAGACCAGCCCUGGCCAUUGUAGACACUGGAUGAGUGAACCCGCAGAUGGAAGAUCUCUCUCUGUUCCUGUCCCUUUCUCUCUCUCUCUCUCUCUCUGUCACUCUGCCUUUCAAAUAAAUGUAAUAAGUAUUUAAUAAAAAAAAGAUGGUGUCUCUCUUGACAUUUAAACAUGAAAAAUUUCACUGAAAUGAUCACACUUUGAAUAACAUACACAGCAUAUGUAUUUCUGAAAACAUUUCAUAGUUUCUCACUUGCUUUUAAUUGAGUUAGUUAUUGAUUUUUAAAAAAUAUUUAUUUAUUUAUUUGAAAGAAUUACACACAGAGAGAAGGAGAGGGAGACAGAGAGAGAGAGAGAGAGAGAGAGAGAGAGAGGUCUUCCAUCUGCUGGUUCACUCCCCAACUGGCCACAAUUGGGCCAGAGCUGCGUUGAUCUGAAUCCAGGAGCCAGGAGCUUCCUCUGGGUCUUCCCACAUGGGUGCAGGAGCCCAAGCACUUGGGCCAGCCUCCAUUGCCUUCCCAGGCCAUAGCAGAGAGCUGGAUCGAAAGUGGAGCAGCUGUGUCUCCAACUGGCACUCAUAUGGGAUGCCGGCACUGCAGGCAGUAGCUUUACCCGCUACGCCACAGCGCCAGCCCCUAUUUAUUGAUUUCAAAGGCAGAAUUACCAAGAGAAAAAUAGGGAGAUCUUCCAUUCACUGGUUCACUCCCUAAAUGGCUGCAACAGCCAGGCUUAGGCCAGCCGGAAACCAGGAGCGUCAUCCAGAUCUCCCACGUGCGGGUCAUCCGCUGCUGCCUUCCCAGGCCCAUUAGCAGGGAGCUGGAUCAGAAGCAGCUUAAUCUGCUAGGCCAUAAACCCAGCCUCUUCCAUUGGCUUUUUUAAGUAUUCUAGGGAUAGCUGUCUGGCCUACUAAUUAAGAUGCUAGUUGGGAUGUCUGCAUACCAUCUCAGAGUGUCCGGAAUUCAGCCACACCAACUCCAGCCCCUGCUAAUGUGUGCCCUGAGAAGCAGCAGGUGACGGCUUCGUAGUUAGGUCCUUGCCACCCAGAUGGCAGAUAAGGAUUGAUUUCCCAACUCCUGAUUUUGGCUUGGGCCAGCCCCAGCUGACGCAGGCAUUCGGGGAAUGAACCAGCAAUUGGGAGCUCUGUGUGUGUGUGUCUGCCUCUCAAAUAAGUUAAAAAUAAAUAAAACGUAAUUAAGUGCACUCAAAACGCAGGCAACAUUAGCAUUCCCACUCUGUCGACAUGGAGACCUCCUCUUUUAUUUAGCCUCUCUUUUUUCCUAGUACAACUUCAUUACCAAAGUAUUGCACAACAUCAUCUUUUCUCACACCAGAACUGAAAUGAGUUUGUAUUAUAACAGCAAGGAAAUAAAUGGAAAUAUCUGUAUGAAGUCUUAACUCAGAACUGACAUAUUAAAACUGACAGUUUUGCAUUAUCUCUUCUCACAAAGUUUUAUCUCGUGGUACAAUUUUUGGUUCUCAAACAAUGUCAAAUAUUUGGUCCUUGAAACCUUUGCCCAACUCAUUGCAGAGCUGGAGACUCCUGUCUGUUUGAGAACGUUUACACAUCGUCUCAAACACGAUAAGCAGAGACAGGCCAGUGCCCAGCUGUUGCCACACAGGCUCUCGGAGUGGCUGCUCCACACCAUAGCAUUUCUGCAGCCUACAACCGGCAUCGCCCUAGCCCGAGACAAGAUUCACAGCUGAGCGCAAACCCAAGCUGACUGCAAACGUUUACUGGCCAAACACCGAAUUCAAAACUCCCCUGGCCUGUCUCUGUGUUUUCUGACAGUGGACACAUGUACAAACUUGUCGGAAAAGGGUUGCUUUGUAAACAAGGGAGAAACUAUCCAACAAGUUUUCCCACACUGAAAUGAUCACUUUAUCUCGUCCAUACAAACAGCCUACCCGUUCAGUGGGGAAAAAAGAAAAACACACAUUUUCUUUUCAAAUGUUUUCAUG